GAUCAACGAAUUCUUGAGACCUAAUCAAGAACCAAACAAGAAAGUCAAAACAAGAGACUCAAUUUGCAAGGUUUGAAGUUAAAGAAACACCCCCAUUUACAGGCAACCUUGUCAGAAUUUGGAGAUCAAUAACCUUGUCAGAGCCCUAGUUCUUGCUUGAAAAUGAUGAGGCCUCUUCGAUUUUCCUGGAGCUUAAACAAUAAACAAGCAGAAAAAUUGACGAGCGUCAAAAUUAUUGAAUUGAAUUGAUUGCGGGAAAAAGAUGGGGAGUUAUAAGAUCUGAGAAAAACUCACUGCCAGUCCUCCAGUUUUUUUACAGUUACCUUCAGGAACAAAAGAAGGAAAAUAAAAGGGAAAAUGUAAGGGGCGAUUCUGUUUGAUGUUGGGAGGGAGAGGGUGGAGGUGGAGGUGGCUUCCGGGUUAGGAGGGUAAAACAGGGCAGAAGAAAUCGGGAGAACCUAAAAUGAAGCAAAACUGAGCUUUCCUUCUGGAAUAGAAAGCAGCAAAUAUGACGGAAUAGGUGGGUUUAACAAAAUAGGGCUGUAAUGGUAUAUCCAUUACAGCGAACUAAACAUGGUGUAAUUUUGUAAGCAUAAGACUUUAGUUUUUC
rnacentral:lncRNA from 1 species